rnacentral:ncRNA from 2 species
UCUUGUCCAUACAACUGGCGGAUAAGUGGGUAACCACAUGGGAGUAUGGAUAAUAUUAUUAAGUCGACCGCCUGGGCAAUCAAG